GUGCCAGCCGCUGCGGUAAUACGGAGGAUGCGAGCGUUAUCCGGAUUUAUUGGGUUUAAAGGGUGCGCAGGCGGGAAUUUAAGUCAGCGGUGAAAUCUCGACGCUCAACGUCGAAACUGCCAUUGAAACUGGAUUUCUUGAGUAUAGAUGAAGUAGGCGGAAUUCGUUGUGUAGCGGUGAAAUGCAUAGAUAUAACGAGGAACCCCAAUUGCGUAGGCAGCUUACUAAACUAUAACUGACGCUCAAGCACGAAAGCGUGGGUAUCAAACAGGAUUAGAUACCCUGGUAGUCCACGCCGUAAACUAUGAUUACUAGUUGUAUGCGAUAUGAUAGUAUGUGACUAAGCGAAAGCGAUAAGUAAUCCACCUGGGGAGUACGCCGGCAACGGUGAAACUCAAAGGAAUUGACGGGGCCCGCACAAGCGGAGGAACAUGUGGUUUAAUUCGAUGAUACGCGAGGAACCUUACCGGGCUUGAAAUGUACAUGACGAUAGAGGAAACUUUAUUCUAGCAAUAGCAUGU
rnacentral:rRNA from 1 species